UUUUAAAACUCUUAAAUAUAAUUUACAAAUAUCUGUUGAGGCUCUCUUAUGGGCAAUACGAUUUCUUAUAUUUUUAUCCAUUUUCGACAUUAUUUUAUAGACAGAUAGUAAGGAGUCGACACAACUUUUGAACACUCCUGAUGAGUAGUCCGCUUUUUCUUCGGAGUGAAAAGAUUUUAAUGCUUCAAAGCCUAGUUUUUCUCGUUUUUCUUUAUCUUUUAUUACAUACUUAAACAAUGUCUCUGCUGAUUGUCUUGCUAAGAAGAAAAGAGCACGAGGUUCUAUGUUUUCCCAUGUAAGCUCUUCUACUCCGGACUGGUUUUCUCUCGAAGAAAACCGUCCGUUACUAGCUUAAAUGAAUGACUUUAUUUUGCUAUU
rnacentral:sRNA from 1 species